CGCAACGGCCAGCAAUGACCGAUGUGAAGCGGCAGAAGUCAGCAGCGAUCAUAGUAGCCGGGCAGGUUGUGGCCCGGUGAAGGAU
rnacentral:ncRNA from 1 species